AUCCAACAUUCUUUACACUAAUAUCAUCUUCCAUAAGCCGUCUCCAUCAGACACACACACACGCAGUAAAAAGUUAUUGACGACUGAUGGUUUGAGUUUAUGUUGCAGCAGAUCUAUUCGCCAUCAUGUCUUGGUGCACCAUUGAGUCUGAUCCCGGUGUUUUUACUGAACUUAUACAACAAAUGCAAGUAAAAGGUGUGCAGGU